CGCCAAAAAUCUCAGCCCCAGAUCCAUGGAAACUAGAUCGAAGAAAAAGAAGAUCGCCGGCGAAACCCUAACCUCGCCGGCGACACCCUCCGCCGCCGCCGAUCGUCGACCAUGGCCCGAUCUCCCCCAAGACCUCCUCAUCCACGUCUUCCAGCUCCUUUCUUUUUCAAUCCCCGAUCCCUUCUCUGGCCCUCCUCUCCUCCUCACUCCCCUUCGAUUCGACCUCAAAACCCUAACCAAUUCCAAAUCCUACCAAUCUCCACUCCAUCCCCAAACCCUAACGGGCAAUUGCAUCGGAUCCUCCUUCGGCCACCUCAUCUUCCACGUUGACAACACUAUCGUCCUCGCCGAUGUCUUCACCGGUCGCAAGAUCGAGGCGAAGAAUCCCUUUCCUUGUAACUCUAGCUUUCGGAUCGGAAUCUUGACGGCGCUGCCGUCGGUGGAGUCUUCGACGCUCGUUCUCGUGGGUUCGUCGUUUACUGUUUGCUGGCGGAUGAACAGCAAUGAGUGGGUUAAGGAGAUGUAUCUUAGGUAUGGGGAUGAAGUUUUUUCUUUGGCUAUGGUUAAUGGCCUUGUUUACUGUCUUGAUGGUGGCUAUAGAGUCAAAGUUGUGGACUUUGAUCAUCCUGUGAGUUGGAAGACGAUUGAGAUGAGGAUUGAGUUUCGGAGUAGCCCUUCUCUUUAUGGUAAUUUUAAGAAGUUUUUGGUUGGGUGUGGCGAUGAGGUCCUGUUGGUUCUUUUUGUUCAAUCGAGGAAGAAGAAGUGUCAGAUUGAUGUUUUCCGAUUGGAUUUCGAGAAAGAGAGGUGGGUUAAGAAGGAAAACUUGGGAGAUUGGUGUUUGUUUAUUGAUGUCGUGAGUAAUUCACGGAUUGCAUGUUUUAAUCCUGCACGAUGGGGAGGAAUGAGCAACUGCGUUUAUGUUGUUGGACCUGGCUGUGACAUUUGCUCUGUGUUUCCGUUAGAUGGUUCGAAGAUCAAGACAGUUGAUUCUGAAUCUGCUUUAUGUUCGGCGUACAAGAAGUUGGCUGUUUGGCCCUCCCCUGUUUGGGUUUACCCGAAUAAGAUUAUCUGACGAGGAUGUAUAAGAGGAUGUUUGGCAAGUGGUCAAAGCUAUUCUGACAUGUUUGGCAAAUGGAUUAUUUUGGCCUAUGAGCCACCGAAAAAAAUAAGAUAGAAGACGCCAAUGGAAGCCGAAAACUUGUUGUCUUACAAGAAUUCCAUUGCUUUUAAUAAUAUGUCAAAAAGGGUCGCCUAUUGAGGUCUCCUCCAACAAAACUGUGUAAUUUAAAUCUAUAAUAAACAAGAUAGCUGUCAUUGUGUAGAGAUGAUUUGGUUGGAACUUUAAAAUUCUAGUCCAUGAAGAAAGAGAAAUUAUCCAGUAAAUUAACUGUACCAUGUCAUCCAUACAUCUUUCUCCGAUAUAUAACCAUGUUCGUAUGAGAACAUAGCAUUCCGCUGUUGCUUUACUGUAUGAAAGUUUUAUUUUAAGCGCAUCUAUGGUUGUCAUUUCUUCUCUUGAUUGGAGGGAGUUAAUUUGAAGCAAUUUAUGAGAACUUGGGGGCCUAUAGCAAUGCCAAUGAUUUAUGGGACUGAUCUUCAAUAACCUAAGAACUGGGGGACUGACGACUCAAUUUUGUUGAUGUAAGGGACUAAUUUCAAAAUAUUAAAGAUUUAAGAGACUACUGUUGAAAAAACAUCUUGAAUUAGCAUAACAUGAGCUGUUUGUGUGAUUUUGUUAGCAGACGUUUAGUUUUUGUAAUAAACUAAUAAUUAAGCUUAUGACUUUUAUUUUACGUGGCUUGGUAUGUUAGGUCAUGAUAUGGUCUCUGAGAAAUGAAUACGAUCGAUUUAUGGUUUUGUGGUUCUUCUUUAUUCAUUUGUUAUUAUUUGCAUUGGCAUAGGGAAAUGAAUUGUUUACUGUAGUGGUUCUAAAAUAUGAAGAAUCAUUCUUUUUAGUAAUUUAUGCUCAUUCUAAAGCUUAACUAACUAAAUAGCGGAUGAAAAGUAACAUGUCAUGCCGACAUUAAGAAUAUUUUAUGAUUUUGUAGAACCUUGAUAGUUGCCUGAAAAUUUCUAUGAUUAUCUGAUCAUUAUAGGAGUUGCUGUGUUUUUCUCAAGCUUUUCUAUGGCCAAUGCAAAAGAAAUGACUUCCACGCAGAAAGCGUUAUGGUUACUUGAUUCGAACUGUGGAAUACAUAAUUGCGAGAAAUUUAUAGAGAAUUUCUGAAGUACUGCUUAAUCUCUUAUGAUAAUAUCCUAGGUUUAAUUGCUCGAGAUUUUAUUAUAGCUAGUAGUUUGGAUAAUGAUAGAUUAUGAGCUUAUGCUACGUACUCAAUUGUCAAAAUAUAUUAUGUUUUACGGUUGCUUGUUCUUGGUUAUAUACGACUAAUUUAGCAAGUGUGUAAGAGUAACUAAUAAAAUAAGAAAUAAUCUUAUAGCACGGGUAUAGCACUACCUAAUAAAAAUUAUUCUUAUAUAAAGAGACCUGCAACCGCAGGUUGAUAGUUCUUUUAUUAUUUAAAAUUGAUUUGUUCCACUAAACAAAAAUUCCUUUUUAAUUUCAUACCAAUGCGUAGGCUCUAAUUCUGAUAAAGCUCUUCUUCUAAUUAAAAUACAUAAUUAAAUUCUUUUAAGAUAGUGAAAUUGUAAUAUAUGCUGCAUGUAAGUGUAAAGUAUUUCUUGCAUCCAUGCCGGAGGACGAGGAGGUUAAGUUAGCGGCCAGAACUCCUAUAAAAGGCACCGGAGAGGGUUUAAAUAAAUAUGAGAAACCCAAAAUCCCCCAAAUUCUACUUUUCCCUCUCAAAAUCUAAAAGCUCAAAUCCAUAUCCUCAUCCAAUCCCCCAGAGAUCAAGAAAAUGGGAACAAGAUCCAAG